GCUUACGGCCACACCGCCUGGUUCACGCACGAUCUCGUUUGAUCUCGGAAGAUAAGCUAGGGUUGGGCCUGGUUAGUACUUGGAUGGGAGACCGCCUGGGAAUACCAGGUGCUGUAAGCU
rnacentral:rRNA from 1 species